rnacentral:rRNA from 1 species
AAUGAACGUUGGCGGCGUGGAUUAGGCAUGCAAGUCGAGCGAGAACCGUAGCAAUACGGGGACAGCGGCGAAAGGGACAGUAAUGUGUAGGUACCUACCCCUGGGUCUGGGAUAGCUGCGGGAAACUGCAGGUAAUACCGGAUAAUGUCCAAGGACCAAAGGUGUGAUUCCACCUGGGGAGGGGCCUGCAUCCUAUUAGCUAGUUGGCGGGGUAACGGCCCACCAAGGCAACGAUGGGUAGCGGGUGUGAGAGCACGACCGGCGUCAUUGGGACUGAGACACUGCCCAGACACCUACGGGUGGCUGCAGUCGAGGAUCUUCGGCAAUGGGCGAAAGCCUGACCGAGCGACGCCGCGUGCGGGAUGAAGGCCUUCGGGUUGUAAACCGCUGUCGUAGAGGAGGAAGUGCAGGGGGGUUCUCCCCUUUGCUUGACCUAUUCUAGGAGGAAGUACGGGCUAAGUUCGUGCCAGCAGCAGCCGCGG